GUUUUUGUGGUGAACAUUCACGCUAUCUUUUCGAGAUAGAAGAGUAAUAAAUUCUAUUACCUUAAAU
rnacentral:tRNA from 1 species